CAUCACGAUGAGAGCACGCUCAAGUCAUGGUCGUUGGCUGUCACCGAAUUCCUGGUUUAAUACCCGUUCGCGGUCUCGAUCCAAACGGGCCCCCGCGACGACGAGCGCGUCCCACUACAUCAACAUUGAGUGUGCCACUCGGACGACGGGGGUCACAAACGUCUGCCGCACACGGAACAAAAUAUGCAGGCCGGCGCAGACCUUGCACUCAAGGAGGCGUGCCACAACGAGCUACGGCUUUGGGAGCUUGAAGGUCGGCGACGGGGCGUUGGAUGCGAGCCACUCCUCCUCUUCCAGAACCAUAGCCACUCGGUAAGCAUGCGACGAUCGUCAAAAAGAUAUGAGUUGUAUUUAUCUUACGGGGAGAACGACGUGCACGGGAGGUGCUCGACGAAACGUCUCACUCGUCUUGUGCAAUGGGUAACACCGCGCAUGUGCGCGGGACUGGGCUUCUUGUCUCGUAGGAGGACAAUGUUUCCUCACUCCCCAAGUAAUUAAUGGAUUUCCUACGCUUCAGUGGGUGGGUGGGUGGCUCCUAAUGAAAGCCUUGCUUUCAUUCUGUGAGACCUCCUUCACCUUCUCAAGAGCACACACGACAAGGGGGCUCCAUCCCCGGUACGACCACCACAUCACCUUUGAUGAUGUUAGAUGGUGUUAUGCUGACGAUCGUCAACGAAAUAGUGAUUAUGGUGAACAUAAUGAAACAUGCCUUGAGAUUAGCAUAAUUGAUUGCAACGUAAGGUAGUGUUAAUGAAUUGAUAAGAUAUCUUUUACGUCUGUUCUGAAUCUUACGUUCGAUUAAAAUAUUCAUAAGGAGUGUUAUCGGCCAAAUCAGUGUUUCAAUUUUAUUAAAUGAUUAUUUAUAAAUCAAACACCUUGUGAUCAUGAUUAAAACCUAUAGAAUUCUACUUUCAUUUGAACACUCUUAAGAAUUCCAUUUAUAUUUUUCAGUGAGUUAAAAAUUGAGAAAAUGCAGUGAACAUGUUCUGAAGCCAAAUAAAUGAUCGAAAAUUUUAAUUAUUGAUUAUUAAAAAUUAUAACACCUGUAACUAAACAAGCCCUUUACUCUACACCUCCUCGAUCUGUACUUGUAGUUGUAUGCUAUAUUGCCAAAAGUUUAAGUUGUUAGGAAAGGAUCUAAUAUAAUUAUAAGGCUCAGCAUCCUCUCUCAUGUGCAAGUCCGGUGCUAGUCAAAUAGAAGGAAGAGUGUUACUUAUAUAUCGGUUAAACACUAAGUGAAACAAAGAGCAUGAUUCAUAAACUGUUCUAAUACCAUGAUAAAGAAUUUAACUGGGUGACCAGUAAUCCAAAUACUUAGGAAAGAUUGGUUCAUUACUUACUCUGUUGAUUUCCUCCCUAUGCCUUCAAUUAAGUCGCAUGGAUGACACACUGAAACUGAUCACUGACAAGUGAAAGAUAUGUUUUAUGUGAUUGAGCUGUUGUAUUCCUUUCACAUGGGGAACAUCAGACUGAGCAUGCACAUGGAGAUGUCCUACAUGCAAACACUGCUCACCUUCAACAACACAUUCAAGGUAACCCACAAGUAAGGAAAGCAAUCUAGAUCCACAAUAAUUCCAUCAAACAACUGGGCAACUGUGUGUAUAUUUUGUCCAACAAAAGACAACACAUUUUGUUUGCCUCGUCUUUUUUUUAUGGAAGAGACAACAGCUAGAUCACAGAAUGAUCAUUCACCAUAUCCUGGAACCAAACAACAACAUCAUCCAGCACAAGACAGACAAUAUCCUGUGGCAACUGGUGCAAAAAAGAUCAAACUCCCUUGCAUGGACAGCAAGCAAGGAGAAGAAAUUUUAAUUUAUGAUUCUGAUUUCCAAUAAAUAUAAAUUCUAAAAAAAAAAUCAAGAUGUUUGCAUCUUGAUAAACCUUGUUAUUCUCCAUUAUUUCUUCACACAUUAGUUACUUUUAUGCAUCCAUAAGAAGUGGGGAACCUUUUGCAUUUCUGUUAUUUCAAACUCCAUAAUCCAUUACAGAAAUUGUAGAAAUGGUAGAUAUCCUUAAUUAACAAAUGCAUUCAUAGUUAUUAUAAGACCCAAUUAUAUAUUUUUUGUAGUGAUAUAAUGUCCCAAAACCAAACACAAUAUGGUGAUCAAUGUUUCCUACAUGCAAUCAAUUGAAACUAUGUUCAAACUAUCAAUUAUUUUUUGGUGAGAUUAGGCAAAUUGUUCAAGUUUGAUUCAAAUCCAGGUCUGUGAUUUGUAAGAUCGAACCCAAGCCAUAAACAAAGAUAAGUUUUAAUCUGAGACUCUCAUGUUAAUUCAAUUGAAGUCACUUUCCUUUUGGGUUCAAGCUUUCAAAUACUUGGAGGCCUAUUUGAUUUGGGAGAUAUGAUUUCUUGGGAUAUGAGAGAAUAUCUAUAGGACAAAUAUCAUGUCAAGGAUGUUAUCCUUUUUUUAUUUUGUGUAAUUUCACUAUCACAAUAUCCACCAUUAAUUGCGUAAACUUUCUUCUUAGGAGUACUUGAGAAAUCCUCUCUUUAACCAUGAUUUUUCUUUUUAUACAUGAUUACUGAUAAUAUUGAUCUUUUGUAUGAUUGACUUGAACAUCAAAGGAAGAACCACUAGAAAUAUUCCUGACAUCCUCCCUCUAUCUUGCAUGACUUAUCUUUUAAUGCUUCAACCUUAUUUUGUGAAAUUAUUGUAAGCUUCGACAAAGACCAUGUUGAUGCUUAUUCAUUUGCGAUGGGCUAUCUCAAUCCGGAGAAGAGGCACGGUCAACUCGCAAUAUAUUAUAAAUGCCUUGUCAACUAGAUUAAUUGAAUUUUUGUGGUGUGACUCAUGGCAAAGCACAUCAGAAGGUGGCACAGAAAUUUCCAUCUCAAGACCUACAUUGAUAGGGCAACAAAAAUAGUAAUCAUUCACCAUUGAUGGCUUGUUGGUCUUCAUCGAAGGUCUUGAGGCUUGCUUUCUGCUUCAGAUUUAUGAAUAGAGUUGGGCCUUUAUCUCGUGGCAAGUAUUUGAACUACAUUAGAAAUGUUAAUCUUAUCGAAUGACAGAUAUUACACCAACUCAAUCCAAAUCCGCUCCAGACCCAUGGAUACACAGAACUUGGAGAGGAAGAAUGGUGUCACUGCAUGGUGUUGGCAACCUUUUCUUGGCAUGAAUCCUUGAUGCCAAAUUAAAUGUCCUUGAAAGGAUUUAUGAGGAAGUGCAAAUUCCACAAGCACCUGUUUAUUUUCACUGGUUCCUCCCCAUUGCUCUAAAUCAAAAUAGGGAUCAAAGACUCGAGAAGAUUUCAGUCUUCUUCCCUACAUUGAGGAGGAUAAAUUUGCGUGGAAGCUAACUGAAACCAGAAAUCCAAAGCUUGGGAAUUCCAUAUGCAGAAGGAGAAAGUAGGGUUGUAGCAGAAUCCUUCAACAACUUCCAAGUGUCUGAUGAACCAGAAGAGCUUUGUGCAGUCAAAUCAGCAGCUAUACAAUGGAAGAUUCACUGACUUCAUUAUGACCACUUUUCUACAGACUCCGAGUUCACAGAUGACCAACUUCUAUUAGCAUUAAUGAGAUAAAGAACCUUUAAAUUA